UAGUCUGGUGCCAGCAGCCGCGGUAAUUCCAGCUCCAAUAGCGUAUAUUAAAGUUGUUGCAGUUAGAACGCUCGUAGUCGGAUUUCGGGGCGGGCCGACCGGUCUGCCGAUGGGUACGCACUGGUCGGCGCGUCCUUCCUUCCGGAGACCGUGCCUACUCUUAACUGAGCGGGGGCGGGAGACGGAUCGUUUACUUUGAAAAAAUCAGAGUGUUUCAAGCAGGCAGCUCGCUCUUGCAUGGAUUAGCAUGGGAUAAUGAAAUAGGACUUUGGUGCUAUUUUGUUGGUUUCGAACACCGAAGUAAUGAUUAACAGGGACAGUCAGGGGCACUCGUAUUCCGCCGAGAGAGGUGAAAUUCUCAGACCAGCGGAAGACGAACUACUGCGAAAGCAUUUGCCAGGGAUGUUUUCACUGAUCAAGAACGAAAGUUAGGGGAUCGAAGACGAUCAGAUACCGUCGUAGUCUUAACCAUAAACCAUGCCGACUAGGGAUUGGAGGAUGUUCACUGAUUGACUCCUUCAGCACCUUACGGGAAACUAAAGUCUUUGGGUUCCGGGGGGAGUAUGGUCGCAAGGCUGAAACUUAAAGGAAUUGACGGAAGGGCACCACCAGGUGUGGAGCCUGCGGCUUAAUUUGACUCAACACGGGGAAACUUACCAGGUCCAGACAUUGUGAGGAUUGACAGAUUGAGAGCUCUUUCUUGAUUCGAUGGGUGGUGGUGCAUGGCCGUUCUU
rnacentral:rRNA from 1 species